rnacentral:rRNA from 1 species
UACGUAGGGUGCAAGCGUUGUCCGGAAUUAUUGGGCGUAAAGAGCUCGUAGGCGGUCUGUCGCGUCGGCUGUGAAAACUCGGGGCUCAACCCCGAGCCUGCAGUCGAUACGGGCAGACUAGAGUGCGGUAGGGGAGACUGGAAUUCCUGGUGUAGCGGUGAAAUGCGCAGAUAUCAGGAGGAACACCGGUGGCGAAGGCGGGUCUCUGGGCCGUAACUGACGCUGAGGAGCGAAGGCCAGGGGAGCAAGCGGG